ACAGCAGCAGCCGCGGGAAUACGUAGGGUGCAAGCGUUAAUCGGAAUUACUGGGCGUAAAGCGUGCGCAGGCGGUUCGCUAAGACAGAUGUGAAAUCCCCGGGCUCAACCUGGGAACUGCAUUUGAGACUGUAUGGCUAGAGUGUGUCAGAGGGGGGUAGAAUUCCACGUGUAGCAGUGAAAUGCGUAGAUAUGUGGAGGAAUACCGAUGGCGAAGGCAGCCCCCUGGGAUAACACUGACGCUCAUGCACGAAAGCGUGGGGAGCAAACAGGAUUAGAUACCCGCGUAGCCCUGUCUCUUAUACA
rnacentral:rRNA from 1 species